CCUGGAGUGGUGAAGCUUUAUAGAGAGUGGGAAGCCCUCUGCUGUUGCAAGAUUUGCAAUGAACACGGCCGACGACAAUUAGAGGCUUCCCAGCAGGAUGAAUCAAGGGUGGUGGCAGCUUAACUGGUGGAGUCAGAGUUGGUGGAGAUGGUGUUAUAAUAGGUGGCUGAUCCGUUGGUGGUGCAGGCUCAAUAAUUGGUGGCUCGUAAUCAGAAGGUGGUGGCUCUACGGUUGUAGGCUCAUGAUCAGAGGGUGGAGCAGGUGGCGAGUCAACAAUUGGGGGUUCAUCAUAAGUAGCUGGUGGCGGAGGUGAUGAUCUAAUAGGUGGUGGAGGUGGCUGAGUAUAUGCUGGUGGUGGUGGUUUCCUUAUUGGUAGCUGAGUAGCUGGUGGUGGUAGUUUUGGUGGCUGAGAAAGUGGCGGUGCCCGUUGCAUUGCCGGUGGUGGUGUUGCUCGUUGCGUUGCUGGUGGCUGAGCAGCCGGUGACGGAGAUGGAGGUUUAAUAGGUGGCUUAGCAGAUGGUGGUUGCUUUGCUGGUGGCGGCGGAGGUGGAGGUGGUUGUUUUGGUGGUUGAGAUGGUGGUGGAGGCAGCAGAGGAGGUGGUGACUUAGCUGGUGGCGGCGGUGGUGACUUAGCAGGCGGCGGAGGGGAUGACUUAACCUGUGGUGGUGGUGAUGGUGAUGGCUUGUUUACCGGUGUAGGGCUAGAGGGGCUUUUCUUGGGAGACUUUCCAAAGAAUAAGUGAACUGUUGAGAAGAUUGGAUGGUGUUGUCCUUUGUCUAAUGACGAGCUUUC
rnacentral:lncRNA from 1 species